rnacentral:rRNA from 1 species
GACGAACGCUGGCGGCGUGCCUAAUACAUGCAAGUAGAACGCUGAAGGAGGAGCUUGCUUCUCUGGAUGAGUUGCGAACGGGUGAGUAACGCGUAGGUAACCUGCCUGGUAGCGGGGGAUAACUAUUGGAAACGAUAGCUAAUACCGCAUAAGAGUAGAUGUUGCAUGACAUUUGCUUAAAAGGUGCAAUUGCAUCACUACCAGAUGGACUUGCGUUGUAUUAGCUAGUUGGUGGGGUAACGGCUCACCAAGGCGACGAUACAUAGCCGACCUGAGAGGGUGAUCGGCCACACUGGGACUGAGACACGGCCCAGACUCCUACGGGAGGCAGCAGUAGGGAAUCUUCGGCAAUGGACGGAAGUCUGACCGAGCAACGCCGCGUGAGUGAAGAAGGUUUUCGGAUCGUAAAGCUCUGUUGUAAGAGAAGAACGAGUGUGAGAGUGGAAAGUUCACACUGUGACGGUAUCUUACCAGAAAGGGACGGCUAACUACGUG